CCACAAUGUUCUAUCAUACAAGACAUAUCCGGUUUUUAUCGUGUUAUCUUUUUUAUGUGACUUAAUCAACAAUAAUCCUAGACAGCUCCAUAAAAUUGUCGGAGCAACCAAGAGGAAUGUGGAAAUCGCAUGAAUGAUGGGAUGAGUUCAUUAACCAAGCUUGUCCUAUUGCGUUCUAAAAAUCCUCCACACACUUGCAGUCUGAAAUGGCUGCAGAUAAGGCUUCUUGCUGAUGUGAAACUUCACCACUGCCCUCUGCUGUUGAGCAAGCUGCACUGCAGUUGAGCCAACCACAAAAAUGGCAGUGGACACAGACAAAGCUUUCCCUGCCGAGGUCCCUCGGCCAUCUGGCCUGUGGCUGGGAGCUCACUCACCAGCCGACCUGCCUGCUUAUCUUUAGAGCGGCUGUGGUGAGGUGCUGAGUGAGCCAUUUGGCCUGGCCGAUAUUUAAUCGAGGGCAGAUGAAUGGAUAUCAGGGUCAAUCCAGAAAACACCUCAGGAUGAUCAUUUUCACCUGCCCUCCUGCACAAGGGGUCAGAGCAGAUGGUACAGACUCAGUGCCUUGCUAAAGGACACUUCAGCAAGAUAUCUUAAAACCUGGGCAAACCAAACCAAAACAACUAUCUGCACGGCUAUACACCACCACAG